UGGGGAAUAUUGCACAAUGGGCGCAAGCCUGAUGCAGCCAUGCCGCGUGUGUGAAGAAGGCCUUCGGGUUGUAAAGCACUUUCAGCGAGGAGGAAGGUGGUGAGCUUAAUACGCUCAUCAAUUGACGUUACUCGCAGAAGAAGCACCGGCUAACUCCGUGCCAGCAGCCGCGGUAAUACGGAGGGUGCAAGCGUUAAUCGGAAUUACUGGGCGUAAAGCGCACGCAGGCGGUUUGUUAAGUCAGAUGUGAAAAUCCCCGGGCUCAACCUGGGAACUGCAUUUGAAACUGGCAAGCUAGAGUCUCGUAGAGGGGGGUAGAAUUCCAGGUGUAGCGGUGAAAUGCGUAGAGAUCUGGAGGAAUACCGGUGGCGAAGGCGGCCCCCCUGGACGAAGACUGACGCUCAGGUGCGAAAAGCGUGGGGCAGCAAAACAGGAUUAGAUACCCUGGUAGUCCACGCUGUAAAACGAUGUCGA
rnacentral:rRNA from 1 species